UACAGAGGUCUCAAGCGUUGUUCGGAAUCACUGGGCGUAAAGCGCGCGUAGGCGGCUUUGCAAGUCAGGGGUGAAAUCCCACGGCUCAACCGUGGAACUGCCUUUGAAACUGCAAGGCUAGAGUGUCGGAGGGGAUAGCGGAAUUGCUAAUGUAGAGGUGAAAUUCGUAGAUAUUAGCAGGAACACCGGUGGCGAAGGCGGCUAUCUCGGACGACAACUGACGCUGAGGCGCGAAAGCGUGGGGAUCAAACAGGG
rnacentral:rRNA from 1 species